GAUGAACGCUAGCGGCAGGCCUAAUACAUGCAAGUCGGACGGGAUUGAGGAGCUUGCUUCUCAUGAGAGUGGCGCACGGGUGCGUAACACGUAUGUAACCUACCUUAGUCAGGGGGAUAGCCUCUCGAAAGAGAGAUUAACACCGCAUAACAUUACGAUAUGGCAUCAUAUUAUAAUCAAAUAUUUAUAGGACUAAGAUGGGCCAGCGGACAAUUAGCUAGUUGGUGAGGUAACGGCUUACCAAGGCUACGAUGUUUAGGGGAUCUGAGAGGAUGACCCCCCAGACUGGAACUGAGAACCGGACCAGACUCCUCCGGGAGGCAGCAGUAAGGAAUAUUGGUCAAUGGACGCAAGUCUGAACCAGCCAUGCCGCGUGCAGGAAGACGGCCCUACGGGUUGUAAACUGCUUUUGUACCAGAAUAAACCUUUGUAUGUAUACGAAGCUGAAUGUACGGUAAGAAUAAGGAUCGGCUAACUCCGUGCCAGCCGCCGCCGUAA
rnacentral:rRNA from 1 species